AGAGCACACAAACAUACACAAAAUGUUGUGGAGAGAGGAAUUGGGCAGAUGAAACGUCGGUUUCAUGUCCUACACGGCGAAAUUCGCCUCACCCCAGAGAGGGCAAGCACAGUCAUCAGUGUAUGUGCCAUUCUACACAACCUCUGCAAGCGGAGGAACAUUCCACAGCCAGACGAUGAUGAUGAUGACGAUGAUGAAGAGGACGAUGACCACGAUGAUGAUGGCGAUCAACAUGACUAUGAAUUUGGCCAUGUGGAACCGAGUGGACUGGCAUUUAGGGAUCACUUUGUGAAUACACAUUUUAGUGAACUGGCACCAGCAGCAGGAGGGAGAGGAGAGGCAGUGGGUGCACCAAGAGGGAGAGUUGGAAGAGGAAGAGCAGGGAGAGGAAGAGCUGUGAGAGGAGGUGCAGCAGGAAGAGGAAGAGCUGUGAGAGGAGGUGCAGCUGGAAGAGGAAGGGCUAGGAGGGGGAGAAGAGGAAGAGCUGUGUGAUUUGAUGUUGCAGCUGCAGCUGGACUUUGAUCUUCAUUUCUCCUGUGGGGAAUAUAUAUAUUUCAUUUGUAACACAUUUUUGGGAAGUGGGUUGACCAGUUGCACAUUGUAAUUCUUCUGUAAAUAUUAAACAGGUUUUUCAUAUAGCCUAUUGCAAUCAUUGCAUGCAUACCCCACAAUCUCCUUUAGCAACUCGACUGCAGGAUCAGCUGCACCCUCAAGGCCAGUUAUACUUAUGUCCGAGCCUAGGACGGCGUACACCACCGAUGCGACCGGGGACAACGGUUUUGGUGCAGAUCCUCCUCCGACAAAUAAAAUUUCAGUUUUAUUCACGUUUCAUAUCA